GGCUACUUUGAUGUUAAGUGACUUAUCAGUACAAAUUAAUUUAGUGGCAGUAAAGUUAGUAUAUGACUCCCCCACUACUAAAUUUGACUGACCAAAA
rnacentral:Y_RNA from 1 species